CAUUGAAACAAAGGGAAGGAGGAAUUUCAGAGCUGGGGUCUGCAAGCAACAUGUCAACUGCGGCUGUAGUAUCGUCUCAGGACUCUACUAGGAAGGCUCAACUUCCAUGCUCAGCAAUGGCUCCGAGGAAUGUCUGCAAGAGAUACACCCUGAAGACCACGAUGUUCAGCAGCAGCAAGGGGAGGACUGAAGAUGGCGCUGUGAGAACAACCCAGGAUUGGAGCUCUCACUGAAUCCACAAAUGAUGAGUCGGAGCUGCAUUUCCAGACUGAUCUUUGUUGCCCACAGAACGGGGAAACUCCCAAGUAUAAAAAAGACACGGGAUG